rnacentral:tRNA from 1 species
ACUUAUAUAGCUUAUUAAAUUAGAGCAUUGUAUUGAAGCUACAAAGGAGAUUAUUAUAAUCUGUGAGUA